GAUGAACGCUAGCGGGAGGCCUAACACAUGCAAGCCGAGCGGUAUUGUUUCUUCGGAAAUGAGAGAGCGGCGUACGGGUGCGGAACACGUGUGCAACCUGCCUUUAUCUGGAGGAUAGCCUUUCGAAAGGAAGAUUAAUACUCCAUAAUAUAUUAAUUGGCAUCAAUUGAUAUUGAAAACUCCGGUGGAUAGAGAUGGGCACGCGCAAGAUUAGCUAGUUGGUGAGGUAACGGCUCACCAAGGCAAUGAUCUUUAGGGGGCCUGAGAGGGUGAUCCCCCACACUGGUACCGAGACACGGACCAGACUCCUACGGGAGGCAGCAGUGAGGAAUAUUGGUCAAUGGGUGCAAGCCUGAACCAGCCAUCCCGCGUGAAGGAUUAAGGUCCUAUGGAUUGUAAACUUCUUUUGUAUAGGGAUAAACCUACCCUCGUGAGGGUAGCUGAAGGUACUAUACGAAUAAGCACCGGCUAACUCCGUGCCAGCAGCCGCGGUAAGAC
rnacentral:rRNA from 1 species